ensembl:lncRNA
CUUUUUCAAUUCUUGCUCCGGACCCCUCGAUUUCUUUUACUCUCUCUCUCUUAAAUUAGUCUAAGUGUUUUAAAUCUCGAUUAAUCUACGACAUAAUUUGGCGUCACGAACAGGAAGAAAUAGGGACUCUCCAGCUGCCGGGCCAGAGGACGGGACUCGAACGGAUCAUACGACCAGAGCUCAAGGUUAAAGACAAUAGGUGGAUUGACGCUACAUCUGCUGGGAAGGAGACAUACAUGCUAUGUUGUCAAAUUGGAUUCGGAAGUAUCGCCCUGAUGUGUAUUCAUUACGCACACGUAUGGCUGCAUAAGGCAGAUGCGGCUGAAGACUCUGUC